rnacentral:rRNA from 1 species
CCCUUAGAUGUUCUGGGCCGCACGCGCGCUACACUGACGAUGGCAACGAGUUUUUCCUUCGCCGAAAGGUGUGGGUAAUCUUUUGAAACAUCGUCGUGCUGGGGAUAGAUCAUUGCAAUUUUUGAUCUUGAACGAGGAAUUCCUAGUAAGCGCGAGUCAUCAGCUCGCGUUGAUUACGUCCCUGCCCUUUGUACACACCGCCCGUCGCUACUACCGAUUGAAUGGUUUAGUGAGGACUCCUGAUUGGCGCCGCCGCCCCGGCAACGUAGCAGCGGACUGCCGAAAAGUUGUUCAAACUUGAUCAUUUAGAGGAAGUAAAAGUCGUAACA